CUACUAAAAAAACACACUUCUCCGCCUCCUCCUUUUGGAUCUUGUACGAUUUGUUCGGCCCUCUUCCAGGUAUUUGGCCAGUGAAAUCACGGUUGAGUUGAGACUCUCACUAUUCAAUAUCAACCGUGUUUCUCUGGCCAAAUCUCUGAACUAGGUCUUGUUAAUUUAGACUUGGCGUACCCUUUGUGGGUGAAUCAGAUUCCUUUGCAGAUGCCAAAUUCUAACUCUGAUCGUAUUGCAGCAGGAGAUUAUGGCAGGUGUGGACCGUCGUACCAUCAGUAAAAAAGAGUUCGACAAUCAAGAAAAUCUCAGUUAUAGCAUAGUUCGACAAUCAAGAAAAUAUCAGUUAUAGCAUUUCAAAACCUAAUGUGACGGGACAACUUGCUUGACCAAGAAAAGUUAUAAAGCAUGUUCUACCAAAAAUGGCACAAAUUUGCUGGGGAUCACCAAACUUUUGGAUUGGGGGAUCAGAAAAUCAUCAAAACGGAUAAGGAAAAUGCCCCAUAUCGCUCAUUACAAGGUAGUGUCCUUGUGCAGCAGUAGAGCAUUAAUUUCUUCAUCCAGUAAGUUUCUCUCUUCCUUUUGUGGGAGAUAUUGGAACAUCUCUCUGUAAUCUUGUAGGGUACAUUUUUCCUUAUUUUGGAUUGGGAAGCUUUUACUUAGAAAGCUGUUGCUUGAGAUUUUAAAGCUAUGUUCUACUAACAUAAAGACUCCCUCUAUCUCCUUUUAUCCACUCAUCUUUUUGCUCUUAGGAAAACUUCUUAUUCUCAUUUUAUAGGCUUUAUGGUUCUGGGCAUUUCUUGGCUGCUUUCACAAUGGAAUUAAAGUUCAGUUUCAACCUUAAUUGACAAAAAUCCCUGUAGUCAGAAAUUUUACUGUUAGAGUCCCUAAAACAAACCUUACUCCCACUUUUCACUUUAUUUCAAUACCAGCCAUUGUCUAACCUCAACUCCAAUAGAAACCUAAUCUCUGAACUUGUAUCUCCCUAAAGCACCAAAUUACGCCUUCAAGAAGUUCCAACUUCAUCAAAAAAGGAACGAAGUUCCAAGAAAGAACAUCUUUAAUGCCAUCAUACAUCAAAUGAGUAAAAAAGCGUAUGCUGGAAAAUGAUUCCAUCAAAUGUAUGUUGCAGACUCAAACUCCAUCUUCUCAUUGUUGUAUGUCCCACUCUGUGCUAAACAUUUCUCAGCUUCCAAUUUCACCCGCUCAAAUGAUUAGGUCUUACAAAAUUUUUAAUUUAACAGUUUUAUCACCCAAAUGUGUCAGUGUGCCUAGCAGUGAUUAUCUUAUGCAUAUUAUCCGAACUAAGAUAUCCUUGAGCCAUAUUUUAUCUAAAGUUGAAAUUUUCAAUUAGCCUGAAAUUGAAUACUUGGAUGAUAACAUUUAGAGGGGAGAACAAUUUACAUAAUAUUUUUGAAUGAAUAGAAAUCACACUAUUUAGUUAGAUAAUAAUAUGAUGUUGCAUAAGAGAUAUAAAGGAUACCAAAGGUAUAACGAACUUCUAACAUCAAUUCCUACCCUUUGAUAACCAAUACAAGGAAAAUUACCACCAAGGUGAGCAUAAGGGGUGGCAUGGCAUGGAAUGUACACCACUAGACAUAGCUACGGAGGAGUGGAAUACGAGAAGUGGAAUAGCCAUUUCCAUCCUACCAAACAUGAAGUAAAUGUUUCUUAACCCUCACCAUUUCUGAUUAUGUAUCUUAUCCUAAUGCAUCUUUGUGCAAUUUUUUUUUUUUGUAAAAAACCCACCAUAUGGUGCUUCCUAUUUCCUAAGAUAACCAGUAAUCGAGUAAUAGAUUACCAGUAGGAAUGGAAUGCAGUUGGUCUACAGUCAUGCUCUUCCUACUGACCUCCAAUUGGAACAAUUCAUUGGUGAAAUUAUACGGCUCUAGAGAAAAGGCACACAAAGGGGCUGGAGGUCAAAUCCCCAUCCCCUUUGAAGCAUCAAAAGAGUAAAAGAUCAUAUCAGAAUAAUGUGAAAUCUUACACUUAGCUUUAUAUUUAAAUUCAUAAGGACGUUGCAAAAUCCCAGCUGUAGUCUUCUUACUAUUAGGUGACGGCUGACAUUUCCAUCACCAUUCAAGCUUAGUUCCUUCCUUCUCAAUGGUCCACGAUAAUCUGCUCUCUACUAGCAGGUUUCUGCUUUCUAGAUCCUGUAACAACUUCAUAGUUCAUAGACACAAUUCACCUGGUGGGCGCUUAAUUUUUCUUUGGUGGCAGGAUUUGUAAUUUCUCUCUAAAAUUUUCUCAGAAACAAACAGUAAUCAAAACACACAAAAAAUAAAGAAAAAAAAAAUGAAAAUUGAAAAGGAAAAAAAAAA